UUAAGCGACUAAGCGUACACGGUGGAUGCCCUGGCAGUCAGAGGCGAUGAAGGACGUGCUAAUCUGCGAUAAGCGUCGGUAAGGUGAUAUGAACCGUUAUAACCGGCGAUUUCCGAAUGGGGAAACCCAGUGUGAUUCGUCACACUAUCAUUAACUGAAUCCAUAGGUUAAUGAGGCGAACCGGGGGAACUGAAACAUCUAAGUACCCCGAGGAAAAGAAAUCAACCGAGAUUCCCCCAGUAGCGGCGAGCGAACGGGGAGCAGCCCAGAGCCUGAAUCAGUGUGUGUGUUAGUGGAAGCGUCUGGAAAGGCGCGCGAUACAGGGUGACAGCCCCGUACACAAAAAUGCACAUACUGUGAGCUCGAUGAGUAGGGCGGGACACGUGGUAUCCUGUCUGAAUAUGGGGGACCAUCCUCCAAGGCUAAAUACUCCUGACUGACCGAUAGUGAACCAGUACCGUGAGGGAAAGGCGAAAAGAACCCCGGCGAGGGGAGUGAAAAAGAACCUGAAACCGUGUACGUACAAGCAGUGGGAGCCUCUUUUAUGGGGUGACUGCGUACCUUUUGUAUAAUGGGUCAGCGACUUAUAUUCUGUAGCAAGGUUAACCGAAUAGGGGAGCCGAAGGGAAACCGAGUCUUAACCGGGCGUUAAGUUGCAGGGUAUAGACCCGAAACCCGGUGAUCUAGCCAUGGGCAGGUUGAAGGUUGGGUAACACUAACUGGAGGACCGAACCGACUAAUGUUGAAAAAUUAGCGGAUGACUUGUGGCUGGGGGUGAAAGGCCAAUCAAACCGGGAGAUAGCUGGUUCUCCCCGAAAGCUAUUUAGGUAGCGCCUCGUGAAUUCAUCUCCGGGGGUAGAGCACUGUUUCGGCAAGGGGGUCAUCCCGACUUACCAACCCGAUGCAAACUGCGAAUACCGGAGAAUGUUAUCACGGGAGACACACGGCGGGUGCUAACGUCCGUCGUGAAGAGGGAAACAACCCAGACCGCCAGCUAAGGUCCCAAAGUCAUGGUUAAGUGGGAAACGAUGUGGGAAGGCCCAGACAGCCAGGAUGUUGGCUUAGAAGCAGCCAUCAUUUAAAGAAAGCGUAAUAGCUCACUGGUCGAGUCGGCCUGCGCGGAAGAUGUAACGGGGCUAAACCAUGCACCGAAGCUGCGGCAGCGACACUGUGUGUUGUUGGGUAGGGGAGCGUUCUGUAAGCCUGUGAAGGUGUGCUGUGAGGCAUGCUGGAGGUAUCAGAAGUGCGAAUGCUGACAUAAGUAACGAUAAAGCGGGUGAAAAGCCCGCUCGCCGGAAGACCAAGGGUUCCUGUCCAACGUUAAUCGGGGCAGGGUGAGUCGACCCCUAAGGCGAGGCCGAAAGGCGUAGUCGAUGGGAAACAGGUUAAUAUUCCUGUACUUGGUGUUACUGCGAAGGGGGGACGGAGAAGGCUAUGUUGGCCGGGCGACGGUUGUCCCGGUUUAAGCGUGUAGGCUGGUUUUCCAGGCAAAUCCGGAAAAUCAAGGCUGAGGCGUGAUGACGAGGCACUACGGUGCUGAAGCAACAAAUGCCCUGCUUCCAGGAAAAGCCUCUAAGCAUCAGGUAACAUCAAAUCGUACCCCAAACCGACACAGGUGGUCAGGUAGAGAAUACCAAGGCGCUUGAGAGAACUCGGGUGAAGGAACUAGGCAAAAUGGUGCCGUAACUUCGGGAGAAGGCACGCUGAUAUGUAGGUGAAGUCCCUCGCGGAUGGAGCUGAAAUCAGUCGAAGAUACCAGCUGGCUGCAACUGUUUAUUAAAAACACAGCACUGUGCAAACACGAAAGUGGACGUAUACGGUGUGACGCCUGCCCGGUGCCGGAAGGUUAAUUGAUGGGGUCAGCGCAAGCGAAGCUCUUGAUCGAAGCCCCGGUAAACGGCGGCCGUAACUAUAACGGUCCUAAGGUAGCGAAAUUCCUUGUCGGGUAAGUUCCGACCUGCACGAAUGGCGUAAUGAUGGCCAGGCUGUCUCCACCCGAGACUCAGUGAAAUUGAACUCGCUGUGAAGAUGCAGUGUACCCGCGGCAAGACGGAAAGACCCCGUGAACCUUUACUAUAGCUUGACACUGAACAUUGAGCCUUGAUGUGUAGGAUAGGUGGGAGGCUUUGAAGUGUGGACGCCAGUCUGCAUGGAGCCGACCUUGAAAUACCACCCUUUAAUGUUUGAUGUUCUAACGUGGACCCGUGAUCCGGGUUGCGGACAGUGUCUGGUGGGUAGUUUGACUGGGGCGGUCUCCUCCUAAAGAGUAACGGAGGAGCACGAAGGUUGGCUAAUCCUGGUCGGACAUCAGGAGGUUAGUGCAAUGGCAUAAGCCAGCUUGACUGCGAGCGUGACGGCGCGAGCAGGUGCGAAAGCAGGUCAUAGUGAUCCGGUGGUUCUGAAUGGAAGGGCCAUCGCUCAACGGAUAAAAGGUACUCCGGGGAUAACAGGCUGAUACCGCCCAAGAGUUCAUAUCGACGGCGGUGUUUGGCACCUCGAUGUCGGCUCAUCACAUCCUGGGGCUGAAGUAGGUCCCAAGGGUAUGGCUGUUCGCCAUUUAAAGUGGUACGCGAGCUGGGUUUAGAACGUCGUGAGACAGUUCGGUCCCUAUCUGCCGUGGGCGCUGGAGAACUGAGGGGGGCUGCUCCUAGUACGAGAGGACCGGAGUGGACGCAUCACUGGUGUUCGGGUUGUCAUGCCAAUGGCACUGCCCGGUAGCUAAAUGCGGAAGAGAUAAGUGCUGAAAGCAUCUAAGCACGAAACUUGCCCCGAGAUGAGUUCUCCCUGACCCUUUAAGGGUCCUGAAGGAACGUUGAAGACGACGACGUUGAUAGGCCGGGUGUGUAAGCGCAGCGAUGCGUUGAGCUAACCGGUACUAAUGAACCGUGAGGCUUAACCUU
rnacentral:rRNA from 1 species